GUCUGUGUUUAUGUGUGUGGUUGUGUGUGUGUGUGUGUGUGUGUGUAUAUAUAUAUAUACACACACACACACACACUUAACUACAGAAACACAAC